AGAGUUUGAUCCUGGCUCAGAUUGAACGCUGGCGGCAGGCCUAACACAUGCAAGUCGAGCGGUAGCACAGGGAGCUUGCUCCUGGGUGACGAGCGGCGGACGGGUGAGUAAUGUCUGGGAAACUGCCUGAUGGAGGGGGAUAACUACUGGAAACGGUAGCUAAUACCGCAUAACGUCGCAAGACCAAAGAGGGGGACCUUCGGGCCUCUUGCCAUCAGAUGUGCCCAGAUGGGAUUAGCUAGUAGGUGGGGUAAUGGCUCACCUAGGCGACGAUCCCUAGCUGGUCUGAGAGGAUGACCAGCCACACUGGAACUGAGACACGGUCCAGACUCCUACGGGAGGCAGCAGUGGGGAAUAUUGCACAAUGGGCGCAAGCCUGAUGCAGCCAUGCCGCGUGUAUGAAGAAGGCCUUCGGGUUGUAAAGUACUUUCAGCGAGGAGGAAGGCAUUGUGGUUAAUAACCACAGUGAUUGACGUUACUCGCAGAAGAAGCACCGGCUAACUCCGUGCCAGCAGCCGCGGUAAUACGGAGGGUGCAAGCGUUAAUCGGAAUUACUGGGC
rnacentral:rRNA from 1 species